UACAGAGGGUGCGAGCGUUAAUCGGAAUUACUGGGCGUAAAGCGCGCGUAGGCGGCUUUGCAAGUCGGGUGUGAAAUCCCCAGGCUUAACCUGGGAACUGCAUUCGAGACUGCAUUGCUAGAGUAUGGGAGAGGGAAGUGGAAUUUCCGGUGUAGCGGUGAAAUGCGUAGAUAUCGGAAGGAACAUCAGUGGCGAAAGCG
rnacentral:rRNA from 1 species